CCUACGGGUGGCUGCAGUGGGGAAUAUUGGACAAUGGGCGAAAGCCUGAUCCAGCCAUGCCGCGUGUGUGAAGAAGGCCUUCGGGUUGUAAAGCACUUUCAGUGGGGAAGAAAGCCUUGGGGCUAAUACCCUCGAGGAAGGACAUCACCCACAGAAGAAGCACCGGCUAACUCCGUGCCAGCAGCCGCGGUAAUACGGAGGGUGCGAGCGUUAAUCGGAAUUACUGGGCGUAAAGCGCGCGUAGGCGGUCUGAUAAGCCGGUUGUGAAAGCCCCGGGCUCAACCUGGGAACGGCAUCCGGAACUGUCAGGCUAGAGUGCAGGAGAGGAAGGUAGAAUUCCCGGUGUAGCGGUGAAAUGCGUAGAGAUCGGGAGGAAUACCAGUGGCGAAGGCGGCCUUCUGGACUGACACUGACGCUGAGGUGCGAAAGCGUGGGUAGCAAACAGGAUUAGAUAACCUAGUAGUC
rnacentral:rRNA from 1 species